rnacentral:rRNA from 1 species
CAGAGGGUGCGAGCGUUAAUCGGAAUUACUGGGCGUAAAGCGCGCGUAGGCGGCUUUGCAAGUCGGGUGUGAAAUCCCCAGGCUUAACCUGGGAACUGCAUUCGAGACUGCAUUGCUAGAGUAUGGGAGAGGGAAGUGGAAUUUCCGGUGUAGCGGUGAAAUGCGUAGAUAUCGGAAGGAACAUCAGUGGCGAAAGCGACUUCCUGGACCAAUACUGACGCUCAUGUGCGAAAGCGUGGGGAGCAAACAGGAUUAGAUACCCUGGUAGUCCACGCCAAUAAACGAUGAGAACUGGAUGGUCGGGAGGGUCUGCCUCUCGGUGUCGUAGCUAACGCGUUAAGUCUCCGCCUGGGGAUACGGCCGCAAGGUUG